UACAGAGGUCCCAAGCGUUGUCCGGAAUCACUGGGCGUAAAGGGCGCGUAGGCGGCUCAUGAAGGCUGUGGUGAAAGUCCGGGGCUCAACCUCGGAUCGGCCGUGGCGACUCGUGGGCUGGAGCACUGUAGAGGCGGGUGGAAUUCCGGGUGUAGCGGUGGAAUGCGUAGAGAUCCGGAAGAACACCAGUGGCGAAGGCGGCCCGCUGGGCAGUGGCUGACGCUGAGGCGCGACAGCGUGGGGAGCAAACAGG
rnacentral:rRNA from 1 species